rnacentral:rRNA from 1 species
UGAGCAAUCUGCCCUUCUCUUUGGAAUAAGCGUUGGAAACGACGUCUAAUGCCGAAUACGACCUCCUUUCGCAUGAUCGGAGGUGGAAAGCUCCGGCGGAGAAGGAUGAGCUCGCGGCCUAUCAGCUAGUUGGUGUGGGUAAUGGCCCACCAAGGCGACGACGGGUAGCCGGCCUGAGAGGGUGACCGGCCACACUGGGACUGAGACACGGCCCAGACUCCUACGGGAGGNAGG